GACGAACGCUGGCGGCGUGCCUAACACAUGCAAGUCGAACGGAAGUAGAGACUUCGGUUUUUACCUUAGUGGCGAACGGGUGAGUAACGCGUGAGGAACCUACCUUUCAGUGGGGGACAACAGUUGGAAACGACUGCUAAUACCGCAUGAUACUUUUUGGGGGCAUCCCUGGAAAGUCAAAGCUUUAUGUGCUGAAAGAUGGCCUCGCGUCUGAUUAGAUAGUUGGUGGGGUAAAGGCUCACCAAGUCAACGAUCAGUAGCCGGUCUGAGAGGAUGAACGGCCACAUUGGGACUGAGAUACGGCCCAGACUCCUACGGGAGGCAGCAGUGGGGAAUAUUGGGCAAUGGGGGAAACCCUGACCCAGCAACGCCGCGUGAAGGAAGAAGGCCUUCGGGUUGUAAACUUCUUUUAGCAGGGACGAAGGACGUGACGGUACCUGCAGAAAAAGCAACGGCUAACUACGUGCCAGCCGCCGCCGUAAUAC
rnacentral:rRNA from 1 species